AAACCAUGAUGAGGGCACUAUCUUUGUAAACUUUUGAACCUAUCACAUGCUUUAAAUAGUGAUUCUCCGUCUGCUUGAGCAAAAUUUAUGAUGCAAUUCCUAUUAU